rnacentral:rRNA from 1 species
GACGAACGCUGGCGGCGUGCUUAACACAUGCAAGUCGAACGGUGAAGGUGGAGCUUGCUCCGCCGGAUCAGUGGCGAACGGGUGAGUAACACGCGGGCAACCUGCCCCUGACUUCGGGAUAACUCCUCGAAAGAGGUGCUAAUACCGGAUACGAAUCCUGCAGGCAUCUGCGGGAUUGGAAAGUUUUUCGGUCAGGGAUGGGCCCGCGGCCUAUCAGCUUGUUGGUGAGGUAGUGGCUCACCAAGGCGACGACGGGUAGCCGGCCUGAGAGGGCGACCGGCCACACUGGGACUGAGACACGGCCCAGAUUCCUACGGGAGGCAGCAGUGGGGAAUAUUGCGCAAUGGGCGAAAGCCUGACGCAGCAACGCCGCGUGAGGGAUGACGGCCUUCGGGUUGUAAACCUCUUUCAGCAGGGAAGAAGCGAAAGUGACGGUACCUGCAGAAGAAGCACCGGCUAACUACGUGCCAGCCGCCGCGGUAA